rnacentral:rRNA from 1 species
UACGUAGGGUGCGAGCGUUAAUCGGAAUUACUGGGCGUAAAGCGUGCGCAGGCGGUUCGUUAAGUUCGUUGUGAAAGCCCCGGGCUCAACCUGGGAACUGCAAUGGAAACUGGCGGGCUUGAGUGUGGCAGAGGGGGGUGGAAUUCCGCGUGUAGCAGUGAAAUGCGUAGAGAUGCGGAGGAACACCGAUGGCGAAGGCAGCUCUCUGGUCGACAUCUGACGCUGAGACGCGAAAGCGUGGGGAGCGAACAGG